AUUGAACGCUGGUGGCAGGCUUAACACAUGCAAGUCGAACGGUAACAGGAAUUAGCUUGCUAAUUUGCUGACGAGUGGCGGACGGGUGAGUAAUGCUUGGGAAUCUGGCUUAUGGAGGGGGAUAACUACGGGAAACUGUAGCUAAUACCGCGUAAAAUCUUCGGAUUAAAGGGUGGGACUUUCGAGCCACCUGCCAUAAGAUGAGCCCAAGUGGGAUUAGGUAGUUGGUUAGGUAAAGGCUGACCAAGCCGACGAUCUCUAGCUGGUCUGAGAGGAUGACCAGCCACACUGGAACUGAGGCACGGUCCAGACUCCUACGGGAGGCAGCAGUGGGGAAUAUUGCACAAUGGGGGGAACCCUGAUGCAGCCAUGCCGCGUGAAUGAAGAAGGCCUUCGGGUUGUAAAGUUCUUUCGGUGACGAGGAAGGUUGAUAGGUUAAUAGCCUAUCAAAUUAACGUUAAUCACAGAAGAAGCACCGGCUAACUCCGUG
rnacentral:rRNA from 1 species